rnacentral:tRNA from 4 species
GCCGGCUUAGCUCAGUGGUAGAGCAGCGCUUUUGUAAAGCGAAGGUCAUCGGUUCAAAUCCGUUAGCCGGCA